AUUCCAGCUCCAAUAGCGUAUAUUAAAGUUGUUGCAGUUAAAAAGCUCGUAGUUGGAUUUCUGGUAGGAGCGAUCGUGCCGAACUUGAUUGUUCGUGUAUUGUGUUGUCUUCAGCCAUCCUCGUGGAGAACUUUUCUAACGUUAACUUGUUGGGAUUGGGACCCGCGUCGUUUACUGUGAAAAAAUUAGAGUGUUUAAAGCAGGCAUUAGCUUGAAUACAUUAGCAUGGAAUAAUAAGAUAGGACCUUGGUACUAUUUUGUUGGUCUGCAUACCAAAUUAAUGAUCAACAGGAACAGUUUGAGGAUAUUCGUAUGAACAUGUCAGAGGUGAAAUUCUUGGAUUUUGAUCAGACGAACUACUGCGAAAGCAUUUAUCAAGGAUGUUUUCAUCG
rnacentral:rRNA from 1 species